rnacentral:rRNA from 1 species
AUUGAACGCUGGCGGCCGGCCUAACACAUGCAAGUCGAACGAGUGGCGGACGGGUGAGUAAUGUCUGGGAAACUGCCUGAUGGAGGGGGAUAACUACUGGAAACGGUAGCUAAUACCGCAUACCAUCGGAUGUGCCCAGAUGGGAUUAGCUAGUAGGUGGGGUAACGGCUCACCUAGGCGACGAUCCCUAGCUGGUCUGAGAGGAUGACCAGCACCACUGGAACGGAGACACGGUCCAGACUCCUACGGGAGGCAGCAUUGGGGAAUAGUGCACAAGGGGCGCAAGCCUGAAGCAGCCAUGCCGCGUGUAUGAAGAAGGCCUUCGGGUUGUAAAGUACUUUCAGCGGGGAGGCGUUAACCGCAGAAGAAGCACCGGAUAAGUCCGUGCCAGCAGCCGCGUUAAUUC